GACAGAGGCCUCGAGCGUUAGGCGGAAUCACUGGGCUUAAAGCGUGUGUAGGCGGGCCCGUAAGUGUCUUGUGAAAUCCCACGGCUCAACCGUGGAACUGCUGGGCAUACUGCGGGUCUUGGGCCAACUAGGGGCAGCCGGAACAAGCGGUGGAGCGGUGAAAUGCGUAGAGAUCGGGAGGAACACCGGCGGCGAAGGCGGCUGCCUGGACCAGCAUUGACGCUGAUGAGCGAAAGCUAGGGGAGCAAACGGG
rnacentral:rRNA from 1 species